CACUAGCCAGACGAAGYUAGGUGGCUGCUUUAAMGUUAGCUUUGGGAAACAGGGUAGCUCGUUUUUUUCUUCGUGAACUGAAGUUCAAUUUCAAUAGGCGAACAACAAGUGGCUACCUAGUGAAUACUUACUCACAAGGAUUCCUAAAUCAUUGCUAAGAAUAUUGAAAAUGACUGCAGUUUCUACUGGUAAUUKUUUUCAGGCUGGUUGCACAUUGGURCUAGCAACCCCAGAAGUUGCUAAUAACAUCUGCAUCAAAGAUAUUUGCCAUGUUUUAAAUCUGGCUUGUUUGGUGGCGGUUGGCUUGCACGUGCAAAUGCAGCACACACACACAAUCUAUAAUAUAAUUGUGUUAUUURACGUGUCGAAUAUWGUAUCUUUUUGACAAGCAAAGACCCAAAYGGCGUUCCAUAGUAUGUUGUUGGGGUUUGUCGAAAUAAAACAACGUCAUGCUUGGAUCAGCUGCGUUUUACUUCAGACAAUGAUGCUUGAUGGCAGACAUUUUUCCUAGAGUGGACUACAGAGUCCGCUUGUGUUGUCAGGCCUGUCUAUCCCUCUCUAGAUGGACAAUAUGCUGGAUAAAGACGUGGAUGACUCCAUAGAAUGUAAUACAACUUUAUAAUCYAUUGGUGAGAAUGGAUAAUGUCUUCUCCCUUUCCCAACACAAACAAAUACACACAAGUUGACACUUGUGUGUAUUUGUUUGUGUUGGGAAAGGGAGAAGACAUUAUCCAUUCAUCUUGACACAGCCCCAGGAUGGAGGGGUGCUGCACUGCAGGGUGUUGGGAAAAGCAGGAGGCACAUUUCUGUGCUAAUGUACAAUAAAGUAUCAGAUCCGUCCA